rnacentral:lncRNA from 1 species
AGAAGCAGUCAACGAAGUGAAACAACAAGCUGUUGCUGAACUACAAAAGGCUGUUUCUCUGGCAGAAUCUAAAGCCAGUGAGCUUGUCGCUGUGGAAAGAGCAAAAUUAGAGCAAUUUUUAUCGGAGACGAGGAGACAAGAAACUCAAGAAUCCCUGUCUUUCGUCAAUAAACGAGAAGAUUCCAGAGAAAUGAUUUUUCUACCUUGUAGCAAUCAACAGGAAGACUCCACAGAAAACUGCUGGAAUUGUGGAAGAAAAGCUAGUGAGACUUGUAGUGGCUGCAAUAUAGCUCGAUAUUGUGGUACCUUUUGCCAACAUAAAGAUUGGGAGAACCAUCAUCGGAGAUGUGGUAAAGGAGUUAGCGGAGCCACUCCGAGCAUCACUGUCUCUUGUACGCCACUAGGAGUUUCCAAGACUUCGACAAAAACGCCAGGUUGCCACGUGUCAUCAACGAAUUUUGAUAAAGGAAUUACCAGUCCGGUAUCGACGAAAAGGACUGACAAGUCUAUAUCUUCUUGAAGACUGAUCUAUCGAGUAUUUAAAUUGUAUUCGUAAGGAACACAGUCGUAUAACGUUCACACAACUAUCAAUUCAGAGAGGAUACUUGCCUCGUGAUUCACAGAACGAAUAACUCUAGUCUAAUACGUAGUUACUCAUAUAUAAAGAACACAUUUAAAUGUGGCACUAGAUACUAAUUUCUUUAAAGGAACUUAUUAAUAUAAAUAGCAUCUCGUUCACUACUAUGUCUGUCGUAUCCUAGCCGGCGCAUACAGCCCUGGUGUUGACGAUAGGCCUUAUCGGCACUGGAUUUAGUGGUUAUAAUGUGGUUGACAUAUGAUUACACAUUAGGUAAAUGUUCAGCACUUUGUGCUGUUAUGAAUAAAAGUUAUGUUUGAAAAGUAUUUUUCUCUUCAUGCUCAUAAGAUUAAAGUUGUUAAAUGUAUCAAAACAGUUGGGAUGGUUUUCAAUAACCAUCUUUUGAAUGAGGAAUGUCAAAGUGAAAAUUGUUUUGAUAAAAAGGUUAGAAAAAAACGACCUUUAAUAAUCAUUAUUAUAAAAUAACUUGUUAUUUUAAUCAAUGUUUCGCUUUUGCGGCUUCGUCAGGAUUAUAAUAUCAAAUAGUUGUAUGUACUAACCCUAAUGAAACUGCAAAGGUCAAACGUUGGUUAAAAUAAAAUGUUUUUUAAAUGUAAUUAUCUGGAGUAUAAAGGUCGUUUUUUCUAACCUUUUUUAUCAAAAUGUGUAAAUCCCUUUAACGUGCACUACAAAAUUUGAAAAUUUUGUAAUCCUAAGUACUGAUUUUAUUCUAUGUGAUUAUCUGAUUAACCCUAUAUUUGUAUUUUAUUCUAUAAGAUCACCUGAGCAUUCCCCAUAUUUGGAUUUCAUUUAAUGAGAUCACCUGGGUAAUUCCCAUAUUUGGAUUUAAUGCAAUGAGAUCACCUGGGUAAUCCCCAUAUUUGGAUUCCAUUCAAUGAGAUCACCUGAGUAAUCCCCAUAUUUGGAUUUCAUUCAAUGAGAUCACCUGGGUAUUCCUUUGUUUCUAUGUGGUUCUAUGAGAUCACCUGAGCAAUCCUAUGUUUUGAUUUUACUCAAUGAGCUCACCUGAGUACUCCUAUGUUUUGAUUUUGUUUGAUGAAUCACCUAAGUAAUCACAUGUUUCGAUUUUAUUCAAUAGAAUCACCUGAGUAAUCCCAUGUUUCUGUUGUGUUCUAUGAGAUCACCUGAAUAAUUCAAUGUUUCGAUUUUGUUCUUUGAGAUCACCUGAGUAAUCCUAUAUUUUGAUUUUAUUCUUUGAAAUCGUCUGAGUAAUCCUACGUUUUGAUUUCGAUAGUGAGAUCUUCUGACUUUUAUGAAUCAGAAAGAUCUGUCUCCGAUAAAAUAAUUAUUUAUGUUGUGGGGUAUUUUGACAAACAAUUGUUUUUAUUUAUUUUUAUGCAGAAUAAUUAUCACGUCAAAACAUUUUGGCUGAAUUAUAUUCAGUGUUUCUAGUCCCAGAUCUUCACACAAUUGCUAUGCAAGCUUUUGACGACGACCUAUGCUUGUAGUAUUGGAGAAUUAAACGAUUCUUUACGUGAUAUAAUUAAAAACUGACACAUUCUGUUAUGAUAAAUAGUAAUGAAGUUUAGAACUUAUUUUUUAUGUUUCGUUAAUAUCAUUCUCAAAACGAACCAACGUAUAUUAAUAUAAUACAUGAAAAGCUCCCUCUAUUAACAACGUGUGUACGUAUAUAUGACAAAAGUUAUGUAAAGUACUGGCUUGAAUCGUUUUCAAAAAUUCUUUAAUGUUUUAUGUUAAAAAGAAGCGAAUAAAAGGUUGUGUAUAUUAUAGUCAAAAGAUGGCGACAGUAUAGCUCCUAAUGGUUAGAUAAUGGUUAUAUCAUGUUGCUCUAUUGACCAGAGUUAUUUUAAAAUAUGUAUUCUGCAAUGCUAACAGAAGUUCAUGAGUCAUUUAUAUAUAUAUAUAUAUAUGUAUAAAUAUACGAUCCAUUUUACUCUAUAUAUACUUAUAGAUCAUUCCUAACAUGAAUAGUAUUCUUGCAAAUAAUAAUACUUUUGGAUGUUUAUUAAUCAGUCAUUAGAAAAACAACAUAAAUAAUAGAUAAAAAGCUGUCACAUCAUUUUUGGCCCUCCCCGUUGGGAGGCUGUUUUUUUAGAUAUUCUUUCUUAUUUGGUAAGCCUUCUGGUACUCGUAUGCGACGUCGAAAGUAAUAGCUUGUGAGAAGUAUACAAAAACUAAUUAGAAGCGAUACUGUUGCCUGUUUUAAGCAUCCUUUCAUUAUCCUAAUUAACUAGCAGAUAUAAAAGAUAUUACAGCUCGCCUUGAAUACCGUAACUUUAUUGCGAUAUGUGAGCAAUUUUUUUAAUUGUAAGAAGUAUCUAUAUGUUGAGAUAACUGAGUCUUUACUUAUCUUGUAUUUCAUAUAUUUACAAUUGUAUGCCAGAUGUUGUGCAUCACCAUUUGUAAUUAGCUAUACAGCAAAUGCAAUUAGGAAUUGAUGUUUGGAGUUCUUUAAUAAAACUAAAUAUUAAAGAUUCUAAAGCAAACUUAAAAUAAUAGGUUGUUUAAUUCGAGUUCAGUUUACUAUACUAACAGAAUUAGGGGUGGAACAUUUGAAGUUAUGCUAAAGGUUCAGUUAUAUUAUGAUAAUUUUUCCAUUUUUUCUGUUGUGGAUGAAACAAUAUAUUAUUCAUUGUUAUAUAUACAAUAUCAAAAGAUGUUCUCCGGUGUGACAGCGGUAAUUCUAGGGAUUUACAACACUAAAUUUUAGGGUUCGGUUCCUCACUGUGGACACAGCAAAUAACCCAAUAUGGCUUUGCACUAGAUCAAACAAACAGGCAACAUUUUUUUAACGUUGGUAGAAUAUAAUUUAAACAAUGGAAUUUAGAAUAUAACCCAUCAUAUAUUAUCUGUUGUGAAUGUGAGCUCAAUGAAAUUUAUAUGUUAUGCUUUUCCAACCUCCUCCCCCCAAGUAUUUUAAUAAUUUUAUAAAAGUAAUGUUCUAUUUAUUUAUAUAUGUUUCUCAUUUAUGUCACUGCUAUAGUCAACACGUAUCAGUCAUACAAGUUUGUAUGUUUAUGUGUGAUGCACCUGUUCCUUAGCAUCUUCAAGAUGAUGUAUUUCAUCAAUCUUGUGCGAUGCGCCUGUUCCUUAGCAUCUUCAAGAUGACGUAUUUCAUCAAUCUUGUGUGAUGCACCUGUUCCUUAGCAUCUUCAAGAUGACGUAUUUCAUCAAUCUUGUGUGAUGCAUCUGUUCCUUAACAUCUUCAAGAUGACGUAUUUCACCAAUCUUGUCUGAACACUGUUAGAUAUAUGGUUUGGUAAAGAAAUUAGGUUUAUUGUUAGUUAUGUGACUUAUAUUAACAGAAAUGGCUUGGUCAUCUGACGGCGAAUCCUUUCCUAAAAGCCCCCCCCCCCCCCACGUGGCACAGCGGCAUGUCCGCGGACUUACAACGCUAGAAACCGGGUUUCCAUACCCGUGGUGGGUAGAACACAGAUAGCCCAUUGUGUAGUUUUGUGCUUAACUUCAUAGAAACAAACAGACUUUACUAAAAUUAGGUCUGGUGUAUUAAUUAGCACCUCCUCGACCGAGACUGUGUUUGACCGAAAGUCAAACUCAUCUACUGGUCAAUCCAAUGAUAAUCAGAAGAAAUUCAAGUGUUUCCAGAUAAUAAAAAAAAACAAAUUCAAAUGCUUUGUGUAUCAAAAUUAACUGAAGUGUUAUGUAAAAUUGAAAUAGAAGUGUAUUUCAGUAUAUCUUCUGUGAGUAAAAAUUGUGUAUAUGUGUGUGUACAUAUAUUGUAAAUAUGUAAACAUGUAUAAACGAAAUUUAUAUUGCGUAAAAAAGGAACACAUUCAUAUGUAACCCGAAAAGAAAAGAUUAAAGUUUCAUCUUCCUCUAGAUGACUCAUUCCAUGGGCAUUGUUGUCACCUGCUUUCUAUUGAUGUUAGAAGGAUAUUUUUAUGUGCUGGUCAGUGUAAAAUAGGCGAUGAACUCUUUUGAACAUUCUAUAUUUGACUCUUAUGUUUACUUCAGUAAUAAGUUAAUUUAACAAAAUGACGUUCAGUGUUAUAUUAUAGUUCUGGAUGACAUGGUUCAUUUCAUUUAAAAUUCUCACUGAUAUCCUUUAACUUGUAUUAUAUUCGGAGUUAUCAUUAAAAUUUAUUAUUUUUUGUAUAUAUAUCGAUUUUGUUGUGAAAUUGUCUAUCACACCCUAACUGUAACUUCCGAGGGUAUCCUAAUUUCUUGUGUUAAAGAAGUAGAGGCUGAAAAAUAUAUCAGUAUGUGAAUAUAAGUUCCAUUCUUAGGAUGACUUUUUCCAGUUAUUGUUUGUUUUUACAGCACGAUUUUUUGUUUAGUGUUCUAGUUUGUGCUGGCUUUCAAACACAACUUUGUAUCUAAUAAUGCCAAUAGUCUUAUGUGCACAAUAAAUAUUUAUUUCAUCACGAUAUUUAAGCUCUACAAAUAAUAUGUGUAACACAUUUUAAUCUUUCUUGACUUUUUCAUUUCUUUGUCGAAUAUGUUAGGAGUUUUUUGUAUUCUUUGUAGUUUUCUUUUCUCAUCUUCGUUGCACGGGUCCGGAAUUUGGUUUCUUGUUUAUUCCUGUGACAGGACACUAUAUAGGAAUAAGGAAAAACUAAUAUGGCAUGAUGACUUGGAUCCAAACCCGGAUUAUUGUGUUCUUAUAAAUGACAAUAAAGUUGAAUUCAGUAGAAUAAAAAUAAUAAUAGCAAUAGAAAAGAAAAGAAAUAAAUAAUCAGUGUUAAAAGUUAAGUUAAAAUAAACAAUGUUAUGUUAUUAAUCCUUAACCUAAAAAUCUAAUUUGUAAAUUGCUAAAAUAAAAAUAUAUAAUAAUUACAAUUCCCUAGCUUCAUCUAGUUCAUACCAUGACAAUUGUUGUUCAUGAAAAGCGCCUAAAUCACUCUAUAUCUGUUGUAUUCCAGCAGGCCUGAUGAACCCUGAUAUAGAGCGAAAGGCCUCGUCGCCACUGGUUAAGGCAAAUGUAGCGUGAUUAACGUAUAAUAUUCUUAUUUACUUUAACCUCACUCACGGGGUCUUAGAAUUAACAUGGUGGUGCUUAUGAACAUCCAUAUUUAUAUCAGCAUAAAAUUGACACAUCUACUGUUCAAGCAGGUUUAGUCUGUUUUCGGGAAGAUUUGUGCGAUUCUUUAGCAGGGCGGUACAAGCUUAUAGGUAGUUUCGUGGAGUUUAACUAACCCCCCCUCGACGAGGAGUUCCUGUUGUCAUUUUAAACAUAACAGCGCAAGUAAUAUUUUUUGAGUGAACGAUUUUCUCGGAUUGCUUUAACUGAUCUUCAUGUGACGUCAUGGAAAUGUAGCUAAGCUUGUUUGUAGUCAGCAACAUUCACUGUCAUGUCCUGGGUUACUUUUGUCUGACUGAAUAGUGGAAUUUGACUGUCAUUCAUAUUGGGCAUCUUCGGCCCCAAAAUUCGGAGUAUGUAUUUUGGGUAACAGGACACGAACUAUUAAUCCUAAGGUUCAAAGUUCGAGCACGCUAACCAUUAGAGCAUGCCCAGCCCAAUAUGGCUGAAAGAAUUGAUUAUAGUUAGUUUGUGAAAUUUCCCGAAUCCAAAACCUUGCCAAUUAUUUGAACCUUAGAUGGAUAUGAAUGUAACAAUAAAAUCGUUAAUAUGGUUUCA